GGCGAUAUGGCCGAGCGGUCUAAGGCGCCAGAAUCAGGACCUGCGGGUCAAUCUGGUCCGAAAGGGCGUGGGUUCGAAUCCCACUGUCGUCA
rnacentral:tRNA from 1 species